rnacentral:miRNA from 1 species
UCUGGAACUCACUCUGUAGACCAGGCUGGCCUCGAACUCACAGAGAUCUCCUUGCCUCUGUUUCCUGAGUGCUGGAA